UCCCAGUUCGGAUUGUAGUCUGCAACCCGACUACAUGAAGCUGGAAUCGCUAGUAAUCGCGGAUCAGAAUGCCGCGGUGAAUACGUUCCCGGGUCUUGUACACACCGCCCGUCACACCAUGGGAGUCGGAAAUGCCCGAAGCCUGUGACCCAACCUACGGGAGGGAGCAGCCGAAGGCAGGUCGGAUGACUGGGGUGAAGUCGUAACAAGGUAGC
rnacentral:rRNA from 1 species